CGUGCGCGUGCCUAUACAUGCAAGUCGAACGAACUCUGGUAUUGAUUGGUGCUUGCAUCAUGAUUUACAUUUGAGUGAGUGGCGAACUGGUGAGUAACACGUGGGAAACCUGCCCAGAAGCGGGGGAUAACACCUGGAAACAGAUGCUAAUACCGCAUAACAACUUGGACCGCAUGGUCCGAGUUUGAAAGAUGGCUUCGGCUAUCACUUUUGGAUGGUCCCGCGGCGUAUUAGCUAGAUGGUGGGGUAACGGCUCACCAUGGCAAUGAUACGUAGCCGACCUGAGAGGGUAAUCGGCCACAUUGGGACUGAGACACGGCCCAAACUCCUACGGGAGGCAGCAGUAGGGAAUCUUCCACAAUGGACGAAAGUCUGAUGGAGCAACGCCGCGUGAGUGAAGAAGGGUUUCGGCUCGUAAAACUCUGUUGUUAAAGAAGAACAUAUCUGAGAGUAACUGUUCAGGUAUUGACGGUAUUUAACCAGAAAGCCACGGCUAACUACGUGCCAGCAGCCGCGGUAAUACGUAGGUGGCAAGCGUUGUCCGGAUUUAUUGGGCGUAAAGCGAGCGCAGGCGGUUUUUUAAGUCUGAUGUGAAAGCCUUCGGCUCAACCGAAGAAGUGCAUCGGAAACUGGGAAACUUGAGUGCAGAAGAGGACAGUGGAACUCCAUGUGUAGCGGUGAAAUGCGUAGAUAUAUGGAAGAACACCAGUGGCGAAGGCGGCUGUCUGGUCUGUAACUGACGCUGAGGCUCGAAAGUAUGGGUAGCAAACAGGAUUAGAUACCCUGGUAGUCCAUACCGUAAACGAUGAAUGCUAAGUGUUGGAGGGUUUCCGCCCUUCAGUGCUGCAGCUAACGCAUUAAGCAUUCCGCCUGGGGAGUACGGCCGCAAGGCUGAAACUCAAAGGAAUUGACGGGGGCCCGCACAAGCGGUGGAGCAUGUGGUUUAAUUCGAAGCUACGCGAAGAACCUUACCAGGUCUUGACAUACUAUGCAAAUCUAAGAGAUUAGACGUUCCCUUCGGGGACAUGGAUACAGGUGGUGCAUGGUUGUCGUCAGCUCGUGUCGUGAGAUGUUGGGUUAAGUCCCGCAACGAGCGCAACCCUUAUUAUCAGUUGCCAGCAUUAAGUUGGGCACUCUGGUGAGACUGCCGGUGACAAACCGGAGGAAGGUGGGGAUGACGUCAAAUCAUCAUGCCCCUUAUGACCUGGGCUACACACGUGCUACAAUGGAUGGUACAACGAGUUGCGAACUCGCGAGAGUAAGCUAAUCUCUUAAAGCCAUUCUCAGUUCGGAUUGUAGGCUGCAACUCGCCUACAUGAAGUCGGAAUCGCUAGUAAUCGCGGAUCAGCAUGCCGCGGUGAAUACGUUCCCGGGCCUUGUACACACCGCCCGUCACACCAUGAGAGUUUGUAACACCCAAAGUCGGUGGGGUAACCUUUUAGGAACCAGCCGCCUAAAGGGUGAAAAAGGU
rnacentral:rRNA from 2 species